GAGUGGGCAGCCUCCAGGUGCCUGAUUGCGGCAGCCAUUUUGAGGCCUAUAUAAACCAGGCAGUUUGGCUGCAGGAGGUCAGGCAGCAACAUCGCCUGGUCUUAGGGCUGCUGUGAACGACCCGGAGGUAAGGGGGAGCUGCAAGGGGAUGGCAGGAGGCUCCUGGUCCUGGGCAUGACCUGAAACUGCACCCUGCCGGGAGUAGGUGGUCUGGUGGGGCUCUCAGUGGUGCGGGAGCCCCCAGGAAAUGCCAGGCCAGUGAUCACCCCGGUGAAAGGCGGGUCGGGGCGCCUUAACCCCUAGCUCCCACCACCACCGGGUGGGUGACCCCUGAGUUGGAUGAGGGCCAAGAGGGCCAGUGUUAUGAGGGCCGAGAGGGCCCGUGUGUGUGAGGGGCCCAGAGAGGGCGGACCCCGAGAGUGGGAGUGAUGUGGGCGAGGUGCCGCGGUUGCUUCUAGGAGGAAGGGAGUGGUGGCACGGUGAGGCCCGAGGAGUAGAGUGAGUGGCUAGAAAGACCCAGCCCGAAGGGGAGAGUCCCCUCGACUGGCCCAUGCUGGGGCCAGGACCAGUGAGGGUCAAAAGGGCCGGGGGCCCACCGCGAGGGACGCCCAAGAGCCGGGGGCCUGGGGUCCCGACUGGCCUGGAGGUGGGCCAGGGCUGGUAGCCGAAGGUUCCGGGGGAACCACACCCGAGAGGGGAACAAGGCUUCGGGAGGGUGAGGUAGCCCAGAUGACGGCGGAGUGGCCGCCUGAGGAGAGAAGACUAUAGUGGGGUCGCGUAGGAGAUUCUGGGGCCCAGCGUGGGGCCGGUGAGAUGUUGAACACCAUGAUGCCAUCUGCGAGGCUUGGGCUGGGGUAUUAGGGGAGGUCGGAGCCGCAGAGCGCCCCUGGGCAUCGGGGCAGUCGAAGGGCAGCCUCCCGCUUAAUUAACAUCAUAAUUGAACUCAGUAUCAUCAAAGGCGUGGCGGGCGAGAUGAGCGGGCGGUUGCCCAGAGACAGGUGGGCGGGCCAUGAAGAGCUCGGCCCUGAGUAGGCCUGCUGUCACGGUGACAGGCGGGCGGGCCACAGAGCUCGGCCCCGGGAGGCCCCCUGUCACAAUGCUGCACACUUCACAUGACAACUUGUAUAACCACAAGGCAGCCUCACAGCUUGAAAUGAACCCUGGGCUGCUCUGAAAAAAAAUUCAACAAGACUAUUUAGCUGCUAAAAAGAUGCAGUUCCCAAUUCUCAUGAUGAACUGAACAGGCAGCUACUAACUAAGCAGCUGUUUCUUCCUCUACAAUGGCUGUUCACCACGACUGAUUCAAGGCAGCGCCAAAGGAUAGAGCCAAACAGAGCCAAGCACCCUCUAUGCUCAAGGAGGCCCCAGCCCAAGACCAGGAACCCACCAGGCUACAAGCUGAACCGUUGCUGUCGGCAGUCCCUCGGAGUCGAGGACGACGUCCAUCAGGCUUGGGUCCUGGGGUGAGAACUGGAAGAGAGCAAAUUCAGAUUGGACAUCAGGAACAAAUUCUUUACAGUGAGGGCUGCUGUCCUCUUCCUUGGAGGUAUUUAAAAGGAGACUGGACAGACACCUGGCUGGGGUCAUCUGACCCCCAGCACUCAUUCCUGCCCAGGGCAGGGGGUCGAACUCAAUGACCCCUCCAACCCGAACAUCUAUGAAACUAUACUGAACAAACCUGUAAGAACAGACAGUCCCUUUCCUGAAGAGGUUAGUCUUGGACAAGAAAUGGAGGGAGAGGGGAAACAUCUUAGUGGUGUAAAUUCACAGUGACCCAGCAGGUCAGGAGCAGCGCACAGGUCUCCAGAUUUCUGUUCCAAGUAUGGUCUUGCUGUCGGUCCAGGUUGCCAUCCUAUGUAUAUUCUUUUACAGAUCUAUAUUUUGAAUACAGAAAGUUUUAUACUCCCGCAUGAUGAUUAGAAUCCAGUAAAGACUGAUUCCUUGGUGGUCGGCAUUAUGGGAACCCUGUAACCACCUUGUUUUAGGUAAAAGAAAUGCGGUAGAAGUUAAGCAGGCAACAUGCAUACCAGCCCUCUCUGAUCCAGACGAUUGGGAGCAGAAAAGGGUUGGGUUAGAAAAGGAGUUUUGGAACCACCAAAGAAUGGUGUUUUGCACCUGUUAGCAGUAGUGUUGCACUACGACACAAAGGAGGAACCCUGGGAAGGAACUACCAGGAGGUUAGAUAGUCUUGGGAGAAAGCUGCGCUUCUUGGCCCAGACUCUGACCAACUAACACCACUCAGUUUAGUUAUGUCCUAUUGUGUUGCCAUAGGAGAAGGACUCCUGGUUUGAACCAGAACCGCUCUGUUCUAGGCCAUGUACUAACACAACAUGAAAACAGUAGCUCUCAUCCUACAAGAGGGUCCAGGCUAGCCAUAAGGGAAGAAAGAAUCUGUGCAAGUUAGAGAAGCAAAAUUUCUGCACUUGGCGCUGAUUGUAUUUUACAGGCAAUCUGGAAGGUCUUACAGGAAUCACUGGAGUAGUCCCUGUUUAUCAGGGAAAAAAAAGAUAGCAGGAUAUAGCUCUUACUACAUCUCAGCACACCUAAGAUCCUGACAGCUAUGAAUUUCAGUGGCUGGCAGAUCCUCACCUCAGCCCUUUGCUAACUCCUGCUAGUGCCUGGUUGUCCUUUGCUGUUUUUCCAAUAAAAUGCCCCUGAGACAAUGCAUGGUGUAAUUUCAAAGUGAGAGCAUCUUUCAUAACAAAAUGAAAACAGGGUAGAUCCACAAAUGGCAAAGUACUAACACAACCUGUGGAUAAGGAUGGAUGACACCAUUGGAAGAAACCAGGAAGUUGCUGGUGUGGGGCACAAGCAGGAGCAAGUGGUUGAACCAGUGCUUAAAAUCGACUAGUGGCAGAGAGUCAUGUUGCGUAGUGGGCCAGAAGAACAUAGCAAAGCAGAUGAUGAAAAAGAAGGGGCUACAUGCCAAGUGGUUGCCAAGAACAUUUUUUUUUUUCUUCACUGGAGGUUGAAUCAGAGACCUGGAUUAAGAAUAUGCAAAACUAUUGAUUCUUGCUAAGCAAGAUGCUCACAAUCCAUCUAGCAAUCCUUGAGCAAAAUGGUCCCUUCAUCUUCACCAUUCUUAAGAAAAGGACUCCAAUAACGUUUGCAUCUCCUUCUUGUCUUUCUCUGCCCAUACUCAACAUCUCAUGCCCAAUCACCAUGUGACUGAACCUGCACAGGUUCCUAGACUGAUUUAAUUAGUUUAGCCUGUUUAAAUGAAUAAAUAGUCUAAGUUUUUAACCUGUGGUCCCCUGGGGGUCCACAGACUAUGGGCACAGACAGAAGUGAUAAUUUUCACUCGACCUGGCCCCUGAAAGUGCUUUACAGCCAUGACCUAACACAAAUGCAUGGCUGCAAAGUGCUUUAAAAGGGCCCGAUCCUGUGACAAUCUGAACCCUUGUUAUGUGAGGGGUCAGAUGAAGGUAAGCGCUCCAGAGUGCAACGCCUUCAUUAACUUGUGUCUGCACAUCCCAGGAGCAGGGCCACGCUGACGAAGCCCAGCCCUGCUCCUGGUGCUGUUUUCAGAAUGGAGGACAGGGGAACAGAGGAAGCUCAUUCUGGGGGUUGCCCAGCCAGCACUGGAGGGUGGGUCAGGUGGCUUGGAGCCCACUCCCCCGAGGUGGAAGGCUCCAAUCCACCUCCCUCCCCCCAAUUCCAGCAUAGGCCAGGGAACAGAACAGGCCUUCCUCCCAUCCUGAGACAGCACCAGGGGCUGGGAGAGGGGGUGGGUAGGGCUAGGGGAACAGGCUGCAGAGAUGCAGCCUCUCUCCUUGGAUUGGCUCCAAAUUGGAACUUGAUCCCCCACCCUCCUGACCCAAGAGCUAAUGUUUGUUGGGUCAGGAGGACUGGUCUAACUCAUGGCAGUUUCUGUGAAGCGCCAUGAGUUAGACUCAGAAGCUGCACUUCUGUCUGUGUCCUGUGUCUAAGAGAUCUGUGAAAGAUGACUGUGAUUAAUCAAAAAUAUGUGAAUACCCACAUUUAUAGUCAAAGGAGUCCGUACCUCCAUUUGAAAUCUCCAAAGGGGUCUGCAAAUGAAAAAUGGUUGAAAACCACUGGUUAAACAAAAUGUCUUGGAACUACAGGUGGUUCUUUAUUCCCUCCGCCCUGGUUCACUGGUGGCCUGUCCAGUACCCAUAUGUAUUGCUAUUACCCAUCAUAAAUGCCCUUUGUUCAUGCAGUUUGUACAAGAUUAAAUUAUGCUACUAAGCUUCUUUUCCACAGGCAACAGACACGUAUUUGUUGCGACUUGUGGUGCAAUAGUAUCUGCAGGGCCCAGGCAAAGACAAGCUGCAUGUCAUUAAGAUCCAGGCACUUAAACUUUGAUCCUCACAAGUACUUAGGUACAUAACUCCCAUGGAAAUAAAAGCAUGUUAGGUGUUGAGACUCUGGGCAUUAGUUUACUUGAGGUUCUGAAAUUCCCAAUGCAAACAACCUGCCAGAAGGCCUGUGGCAGAGCCAAGAAAACAAUCCAUGCUCCAUUGUUUUAGGCUAUCCCCACAAACAUCCUCUCUCCCCCGGCCUGGACUGGAGUAGCUAGCAAACAACAAAGCCAGACACUUAAGCUGAUGUCCAGUUUCAGCAGACAAGUCUCAUUUUGCAGCUUGAGUGGUUAAAAAAACCUGACAGUGCUUGCAGAAUGAUGAUGUUUCACUUUCUUUUUUUACUGAGAUUUUUUUCAGGCACAAAGAUUUCUCUCUCACAGGCAAUUUCCUGAAUGUUUAGACAAAUCCCUCCAACAUGGCAGCAUUUGAUCACUCCUCAGCGGCCGCUGGAGAACUUGCAUGAACCUGUUGAGGGCUUUCUUCUAGCCUCAAACCCUCAUUUGCAGUUAGCAAGAGGUGAAGUGGAGUUUGUUGAAGAAGCAACAGCAAGAAAAUCCAAUACACUCUUGAUUAGAUUAGCUAGACACCAGAAGCUUAACCCAGAACAUUAAAAGGAGCCAGCUUUUUCCUUUCUCUCCCUUUUUUUCAGGUUCUUGGGUGCCUAAAUAUGAAGAUGGCACCUAGAGGGAUUUUUGAAACUGUGGUAGUGCCUAACUGCAAUGAUUUAAUCACUGUAAGUCCCUGAUCUGUAUCUUUAGCUGUAUCUGCCAGCUUUAGUAUAACAAGAGAAAUUCUAUAGUUGGACCUGAGUGAUUCACACCCAAGUGUACCAAUGCAAAGGUUUAUCUGCAGUAAGCCACUGGAAUGGUACCAGAAAUGUGAAUUCAAUCAAACCGGGAGCAUCUGAGAAGUCCCAUUAUCUUCCAAAUAAAUUACAUUAAAAUGAGUGUAGUCAUCUGAGGAAAUAAAUCUAAUGUUCGUCUCAACAGAGGAGGGGUUUAGACUCCAUUCUGAGCGAAAUCAGUAAUGGCAGUGCUGAUCAGUCAGCACAUCAAUCCUCCCCAGCAGUGAGUCACAGCAAGCCAAAUGUCUCCUUGGUAUAACUCUGUCAAAGUCAACAAAGUUACACCAGGGAUCUUUUGAAACCAUAGGCUGGAUCCAUAUGUGCAGGAGCUUGUAGUUUGUGGUGCUGCAAACCUCUGCGCCAUGCCACAAACUGCACAAUUUGCACCUUAAUCAGCGCACAGCACUGCUACCUUGCAGCACCGGGGCAAAAUUUGCUAGGGGAAAAAAAACCUGGGAAAAAGUGGCACAAACCACACCAAAGUGGCAGGCGCAGGGUCAAAUGCAGAAAUGGGGGAGCAGGCAACCCAUCUCUGCAUGCUGUGGAGCAGCCCAUGCUGAGGCACCCCUUGUCCCAGCCAGCCACUCCCUUGCUGGCUGGGACGCAGGGUGCCUCAAGACAGGGGAGCAGGCAGCCCUGGGUUGGCUGCUCCCCUGUCUGCAGGGGCUCAGCACAGGGGCUCCACUGCAGACCCCCCACACGGACGCACACUGCACCCCAGGCCGUUGCAAAGCAGAUGCCCCCAGCACAUGGGACAAUGUGUCCUGCUGCAAAGCACAUGGGCAGGGACGUGCACUGCGGCACAAAGGAGCAUCACAAAUUUGUGCUACUACAAUGCAUGCUGCUGGAAAGGCACGCCCCUGCUCGUGUGGACAUGACCUUAGUCUUCAACCUCCCUAGCAGAAAGCCCAUGCAAAUGCUUCUUUUCCUUUGGAGAAACUCCCUUCUCAGAAACAAGUUGCUUUAUCAAUGCCCAGCAUUUGCCUUGUCCUCACGCCCUUGGAGUUGCAGAGGAACCCACCAACACAAAUAAUAAAUCACAGACUUCAUGUAAAAACUUCCCUGGCUGUUGAAACUCUUCACCAGUGCCACUCACUCUGUAAGACAGACAGCAUUCCUCACGUCUCGGAUGUGAAGCUGGAGAUUGACCAGUGGCCUGUUUAAUGAUGCCUCUGUCUCUCUGGGGCAGGCUCAGAUCGCAGGCAGCUAGCUGCACAGCUUGGUGGCCUCCAUCUGUUUCAUUGGUUCUCUCAUGGAUGACCGAGGCUCAGCUUGAUCCAAAAUGUUCUCUAUGAUAAACAAGAGAGGAGGGAGAUGAAGGAAUUCAGACGUGUAAUCGGGUGGGGGCUUUCUUUCAAUGCCCAGGGCAUGGAGUGUCACCCCUCUCCUGCUAGCUCAUGCCUUAUCUUCCUCGCAUGACUCUUUAAAAACUCAGAAGAGCAGCUCUCUGAAUAAGAGGGGUUUGUUUUCCUAUGAUUUUACUGCCAAUGAAAGGUGUUUGCUUGAUGUGCCUGGAAACAAUGUUCUCCUACCGUGGAGCAGACACAGGAGCCCCAAGGGAGCACAUACCGCUUAACUGUUUGGCAGUCUCAGAGACAUCACUUGUUCUAGUGACAGAGCUCCCCGUCUGUCCGUGAGUACGUGUCGCCCCUGUACUUGUAUCGCUGAAAAGUACUUACCCCAGAAGUGCACUUAUGUAACCGAGAGCACAGAGUUAUAUGCUCCAAAGAAAUUAUACUUACAUUUAUAAUUAUACUUACAUUACCCUUAUUGCCUCUUGCUUGAAUCAUUUUAAAUCCCCCUAUUUGUGUCUUUUGUCAUAUGCUGCAACCCAAAUCUGAGCUGUUAGGGCAUUCAUCUUUUCCCACGGUGCUUUGUCUGCGUCUCAACCCUGCCUUGGCCAGACCAGGUCAAUAGAUAGAUUAGCCUCUAUGUCUAUGGCCUCAGAGGUAAUAAGUCAGUUUUACUCCCAGCCCAACACUAACCCACCAUGAACUCUACAGAGGCCACCAAACUCUUCACAUAGGGCAUAGCUCAGAUGGAUACAUUCCUACUUCAACAUAUUGGCCCCCAAGGAUCUGAGAGUCAGAUCUUUCCAGCUUCUGCUUGUUAUUAGUUGGCAAGUGGAAACUAAAGCAAAAGAUAUAAACAGGAAGGACUGCUCAAAGGGUUGGCUUCAUCCUACGAAAGUAGGCGGCAUGUUCUGUUGUAGCCAAGGCACUUGUCAUGCACAACACCUUAGCAAGUGAAAGAUCCACUCAUUACCCUCUGCAUUGCAACUUCAAAUGCGAGUGCCCCUACGUAAAGGAAAAUUAACACUACUUUGAGAAGAAGUCCUCCAUUCUUUGCAGUAUCAGUUCCCAACUCCCUCCUUAGCCCAACUCACCAAGUAGGCCAGGCUGGGUAAUGGCUGUCGCACUGUAGUCCAAGGUACUAUGAGCUUUAGUCUAGACUAAUCUCAUCACAUUUGUUUCACCUAUGACCAAAACUACAUGUGAACCCAGAUCAACAGCCAGGUUUUGAGUCCAGUUUCAAUGGCUGUCUCAAUACCAUGCGAUAGGCCUUGCAAUACUUGUGGCUGUUUUUUCUUUCUACCCGCUGUCAAGCUGUUCUCUUUGCAGCCUGUGACAUGGUGGAGGGAGGCAAAGACAGCUGAGCUCCACUAUCCACACACUUCAAACCCAAAUUUGUUGCUGUCAGGGGUCAGUUCAUCUCAUUUUCCUCAACUCCAUGUCCCUGGCUAUCCACUUGUGUGUGACCGGACCCAAGUGUGCCACUGGUAUCCCUCUUUAAAAAUGCUAAGGCCUCAAAAAUUCAUCACUCCCACUUUUAUUUUUCCAGCUAUUUACUUCCUUUGGGAACCAGGGGGAAGGCGCAUUCAGGCACAGACAAGCUUUCCUCUCUCAGGACAGCAUUUCAGGCUUUCACACAAAAGGGAUUUUUAAGCAAUCCAAGCACAAACAAUAAAACAAAAAUAUGCAAGAGUCAGUAUUUUUUGUGACUGGUGCAUGUGACAGUGAGAACUUGGUUCAUUGCCUAUUCUUGGGCUUAGAAAAAGUACAUCUUUAAGUUUACAGUGUUAUUGGCCCAACUACAAAGGAUAAAAUUCCCCUUAAGCCUUUGCCCAGGGCCUGAUGAUGAUUCCAAAAAUAAUAAAGACUCCUUGAGGUUGGAAACUCCAGUUCAGAGAGAUUUUGUUCGUGUUUUGUAAAUGAUACACAAAAAUUCAUCCAAAUGAAUGGAAAAUGCGUAAAAGGUUUGAACAUGAUGUAGUGAGCAAAACCAACACUAAGAUGGAAAUAAUUUACUUAAUUCUUUGCAAAGCGCCUGUCGUUUCCAGACAGCUGCUUGCGGGGUCUCUGCUGAUAACCCAUUGCCAGCUUGUGAGGUGAAACUUUAUGAAAGCAGAGAUUGCAGACAGUGCAUUGAGUUUUUGUGAGAAGGGAGAAGAGGGAAGGGGAAGAAGGAAAGAGAGGGGAAACAAACAGUUCCUACUUCUUCUUUUUCAGGGAGGAUAAUUGCGCUUAAAAUCUGAUCUUUCCCAGUAACAGGGUUGCUGAUUUCCAUAAGAGAUAAAAGUAUCUUUGGAGAGAAGAACUUAGGAAUUUCAGCCAGAUCCGUGUUGAUGUAUCAAGUCCAGGAUCCUGUUUCUUUGACAGUAGCCAGUACGUGGUUUUCAGAGACGAGCUCAAGAGGAAAGACCAUGAUGGAACAACUCGCUCGCAGGAAAGCUGCUUCUUGUGUCAAGUGUCCAUGCUCUGAAGCACGAGGACCUAUCCUGCUGAGCUCUUAGCCCCAAACAUACCAGCUGGCAAUGAAUUUUGCAGGCUAUCAGUAUGGGUAAUAAACCAUUCACUUUUGUUGCUUUCCAGUUUCGUUCAGUGUCUCAUCCUUUAUGGUGGGGGAAGAAGAGCACCCAGUAUAUCUUGUCAAUUUGUCAUCUGGCCUGCUCCUGUAGCACUUCAUAAAAUCACUUGUCUCAAAUCUUGUCCAUCAGAAAGAGCUGGUAUGGGCGGCUAACAUUAACCGUGGCUAAUUAUCUAUCAUAUCCAAGCUAUGAAAAAGUUAGUUAAUGAGAAAAAAACCUAUUCAUGAGACCGGCUCAACUGUGCAUCUGAGCCAGGCUGUUGGCUGAUAAUUCACCCUUAAUUUACCUGUCUUUCAGCGCUGGUAGAGCUGCAGUGCUACUAGUCAUGGUAGAAGUGUUGGCCAAGGCUGGUCCAGGCAUUUUUACCCUUGUGUUUUCAUACCACUAGAAAAAUACUUGGAUUCGGGGUGCUUCCGCCAGUGCUCAGCCUGGAGCAGGUGAGAAAAUACAGUGCGUGUGCUAAUGUGCACACAACCUGCAGCUCUGCUCCGGCAAGUUAUUGUGAACAGACAAACUCCCGAGUGUGCAGGGAGCCCCACUAAUUUCCGUAGCGCAUUCUGGGAUCGACUCAUGCUGACCAUCUUGCAGGCAGCUUGGACUUUGAUUCUAGGUCAUGUGUACAGCAAUCCCUACAGCCACAGAUCUGCAAGACAUGCCGGUGUCAAUGAUCAUCCUGAUUUCUUUAGGAACUUAAUUUCAGAAACACCCAAGUUCACUUAUUUUUUAAAUAAACAAAACCUUGGAUUUGGUUGCUCAUUAAUGCCACUUACAGCACAUAAAGUGUAUCGGGAUAAUUCCUGUGCUCAUUCAUUUGAGAGGAGCAGAAGUUGUAUAAUCCUCCUUGGUCACACAAAUUAUCCAGAAGAGAGUCUCUUUCAAAUGUAGUCAAUGUGCCGCUUUGGAUAAUGCUUCCCAUUUUUCUAACCAACAGAGAAUUACAUUUCUCAGCUAGAUUUUCUAAUGCAGAAGUCUGGCUGGCAUGUUUGUUUAGACAGUGAAACAAACCUCAAGAGACCAGAUUGUAGGACAAACAUGUUCUUAAAUAUUUUACAUUCAAAACAGCAAAAGCAUUUGAAAAGAACAGUGGAAAUGAGUGUUUAACCACGUUUAUGCUUUGUGUAUGGCAACAAAAAAACCGGCAUGCCAGUUAUCAUUUACUUUAGGAAAUGUUCUGGUAGUCACAGAUUCAACAGUGCCCACACAUAUACAAAGAAAAAGCAAUAGUGGGGGAAAAAAUGAUAAAUUGUUGCUAAGGUUAUUUGUUAGUAUUUCCCAAAUCUGACAUAGUCUGUGUAGGGCUUAAUAGUAUUAUCAGCUUUCAACACAUCUAUUUCAGUUUUCAUGUAUACUGGAGUUUGCAUAUCCACAUCGAGCAGAGUAUAGGAAAAUAGGCCACAGAGAAGUAGGGCUAGAAGGAACCUCAGAAAGUCAUCUAGACCAAGCCCCUCACACCCAAAAGGCCCAGGAUUUGGGCUCACUUUGAACUCAAGGUAUGAACCUCCUUGGCUGAAACAUCCUAAAAUGAUUUCUGGCCUGUUCCUACCAGGCGUAGUACCGGAAACAUUAAAAACACCCUUUAACUUGCCACAGGUGAAGCAGGGAGACAAGAGCACUAGGAAAGCAUUAACCCAAAGUUACCUUUAAUAACGCCCUGAGCAGCUUUACUGUACCUUAACAGGGUGCGUUCUUACCAGGCAAUAAAUACACUGCUAUUUUUUGUCACUUUUAAGAAACAAACCCUCUAAAUUUCUAACAUCUCUUUAUAAGCUGCCUCACUGCAACUCAGUCCAUCUCCCCUGUUUUCUUCUUUUAGUGGCCGGUAGAGGGUGCUGUUAAACUUGGCAAUGAUUUCACUUCUCAAAGGUCAACCAAACCCAGUAAUAAACCUAGUCCUGGUCCCUCCCUCACACCCAAAAGGCCCAGGAUUUGGGCUCACAUUGAACUCCUACCCUCCUGCUCAUCUAUCAGAUCAGCUAAGAGGACAGUCUUAUUUUACUGCCAAUUUAAAUCAUCUCACUUUAUCUUAAAACAGAUAACAGGGAUCAGAAGUUAUGCAGCUGCUGCCAAGCCUUGAGACAAACGCACAUAAGCGUGUGCUGAAGCCUCUGGACAAGAGGAACUCUGCCGAGACCUUGCAACUGGAAUAGAAACUCGGGCCUUUGGACCUGAUCAUGCCCCUCUGGUUCUGGCUCUGGGUUGGAUUUGAGGAGCCUGCCUUUAAGAUCCAGUGCGAUUACAACCUCAUGAUAUUGGGAUUCUCGUACAAACAGCUUUUCUCGUGAGCCAGCUGGCCACUAUAGUGCAACCUCAUAUGACAUUGCUGAGUUUGCCUUGUCUUGUCCUGAAAUCUCACAAAUGUCGCAAAGUGAGAACCCAGCUCUACGCCCGAGGUCAGGCUUUUGCCUCAGCUCCUCUGCCCCAUCUGAAAUGCUGACCCAAACCUAAUCCAGAGGCAAGUACCUCCGGCUUGGCUUCACUUUAAUGCCAAAUCACAGUCCCUAUUACGAUGCCCAGAAGGAAUUUCUGAGUUGUUAUCCCAAAGGUACAGCUUCCAGUAUUUCAAAGCCCUCUUCCCCAUUGCUCUCUGCAAAUUUUCUCAGUCUCCUAAUUCACUGUGUUAGCAAUGUAGUGCCUCUGAAAUGAAAGAUAUCGGAAAACUGCAAUGGCGGGGAAAUGAAUGGAGAGGGAAAAAGGCAGGUGAAGGGGGACCUGCUGCUCUUCAGCAAUGAUUCCUACUGUAUUGUGCUUUAAUGAGCAACACAAGCUGACUCUAAAGUGAGACUUGCACAACUCAGCUACCCCAUAAAAAGGUACUCAUAAGUAUAAUACUUUUCAGGUGAAAGAUGACUGGUACCAAGUUAUUAGCAGUAAUAGGAAAAUGAGACACACAAAAGCAAAAAGGCUCCUAAUGCCUGAAUGUGGAAAAUGGAAGGAGGGACACGUUAUAUACUGCAGCCUCCACCAGCUGGUAUUUAAAACAUCAAACAAACUUCAGCACACAGCUUUUGCUUAUUUGUAGCUCUCAUUCUUGGCUCGGGCUCAUCUGUUAGGGUAGACUUUGGCAGUUUAAAAUAUCAGGCAAUAAACUUCUCUUACUUGCA